AACUUUUGGCAACGGAUCACUUGGCUCUCGCAUCGAUGAAGAUCGCAGCGAAAUGCGAUAAGUAAUGUGAAUUGCAGAAUUCAGUGAAUCAUCGAAUCUUUGAACGCACCUUGCGCUCCUUGGUAUUCCGAGGAGCAUGCCUGUUUGAGUGUCAUUAAUAUAUAUCAACCUCUCUUGUUGAGUCGUUUGGAUGUGGGGGGUUUUGCUGGCCUGUUCAGCUCCUCUGAAAUACAUUAGCAGAACAACCUGAUUCAUUGGUGUGAUAAACUAUCUACGCUAUUGAAUUGCAAGGUGCAGUUCAGCUUUCUAACGGUCCUUGGACAAGUUAUCAAUUAUGUGACCUCAAAUCAGGUAGGACUACCCGCUGAACUUAAGCAUAUCAAUAAGCGGAGGCU
rnacentral:misc_RNA from 1 species